AUUUAGCGCUCGUGGAAAGGAGACGUCUCUGAACCGAGGCUGCGACUGCGAGGGCAUCAGGGCAGCGAGGCCUCUUGUCGCGUGAAUCCCCUCGAGAGCCGCCGGCGGAGCCAUGGCGCGGUCCCCAGCUGCCUCCUCCUCCUCCUACACGGAUAGCACGGGAUCCUCCUCCGACUCAGGCUCCAGCUCAUCGGGAAUCGACCGCCGCCGCCGCCGCCACCGCCAUCGGAGCAGCCGCCGCAAGGAGGGCACGUCCUCGUCCGCGCUGAAGGCGCGCAAGGACCGGAGGUCCCGCCACAAGCGCCGCCGCCACGAGCGGGAGCGGCGGCGGUCCGCGUCCGACGACGACAGCUACAGCACAAGCUCUUAUGACAGUGACCGUGAGGUGUCUGGCAGAUCUCGGAAACAUAAGAAGAGCAGCAGAUCAAGAAAGUUUAGGGAGAGGGAGCGGAGCAAAGAUAGACAUCAUAGACGAGACAAGAGUAAACACAAAGAGCUGGGAUUGGUGAACGGGUGACAACAUGGUGGAUUGGCCUGCUGCUUGUUCUGUUGGUGGGUUGGUUGUGUUCUAUUAUAAAUGGGGGAGCUUUAUACAGAAGAAAGAGAGUGAGCAUGCUGAUGGCCCUGUCCAGCUUUCCAAGUUUCUUGGACGGGACAAAGAAAAGGAAGAAGGUACUCAACGGAGUGCAAUCUCUGGUAAAAAGAUAAUGAUGAAGCUUGAGAAGACAAAGGAAGACAAGGCAGCAGAGAGCAAGCGAAACGAACUGUUGAAGUUUCUGAAUGCCAGUUACGAUUGAUGUGUUCGAAUCGCUGGCGCAGAAAGUGCAGAAUGCCCUUUUUUAUCGUCUUUGCACUGGUGCUUUUGGUGAUACUUAAGUUAUAAACGUUUUGUUUCUUGUCUAUAACUUGGCCACCAAAGUUUUGUUAUGCUUAACUAGUGACUGAGUGAAGGUCUACAUGUAAUUGAUUUGAAUUCUGUGUUGCCAGUCAUGGAUUUGCAGCUUUUAAA